rnacentral:rRNA from 1 species
UACGGAGGGUGCAAGCGUUAAUCGGAAUUACUGGGCGUAAAGCGCACGCAGGUGGCUGAGUCAGUCGAUUGUGAAAGCCCUGGGCUUAACCUGGGAAUUGCAGUCGAUACUACUCAGCUAGAGUAUGGGAGAGGGUAGUGGAAUUCCCGGUGUAGCGGUGAAAUGCGUAGAUAUCAGGAGGAACACCGGUGGCGAAGGCGGGUCUCUGGGCCGAUACUGACGCUGAGGAGCGAAAGCGUGGGGAGCAACAGG